GUCUACUCCAGUGCCUGUUCAUCAAGUGGAUGGAGCCAUCUAACUGAUCAUCGUGUUAGAAGUAUCUAGAACCUCUUCUCUGCAACAAAGGCAAGCCCCGGUGCAUUUGCCCCUUCCUUAUGUUUUAAAUGCUUUUUCACCUUAUCUGAUGCAUUAGGUGAUAGGAGUUGUGUGAUGAAAAAUUGAUGCAUUACCAUUCCUUGGAAACUCCUUAAUCCCUGUUUUAUAAAGAGAACUGAUAUUGCUUAGCCCUGCUUAAAAACUGAAAAAUCAUUUGUUUUCAAAAAGAAUGAUUGUGGAACAUUGGUUAUGGGCUUUUUAUUCAAAAAUCAAAGGAAACUAAGGUGAUGACUCCACUUCGGCCGGAGUGGGCUCAUCAUUGGAAAAGAGUACCCCUGCCGGGUACCAAAAAUGGGGAAAUGAUUAAUAAAUCUAGACCAGGCGCUGAGCAGACAGAGUCGCCCGUCUGUGUCGAUUAAGGACCGUACCGUUGACUGGCCUAUUGUGGUUGAGACUUUGCAACUAGCCACAUACCCUGGUAUGGGACAGGGUAAGCUUGAACCCGGCUAUUCCAUACGUGAAGAGACAAUCGCGCACUGGGAGUGGAGAGAUGGCGGGAGUAGCAUGUACCCUCCUGGCACAGCGCACGCCUGGUAGGUAAUGUGCUCUCGGGUGGCGCGGACCUAUUCAUGUAGUGGAGGACUCCAUGGGAACGGUUGACAUAUGCAAGGGUUAAGUGCUACAUAUGUCGUGUGGUUAGAGAUCCCCAGCUGGGUAUAAUCGGUUCGAAUCAUCGUUGCUCCUCGGUUAUGGAGACUCAUCCCGGUGACCAUCAUCGUAGUUAGCAAGUGAAAUAUGAGAAUGAAUAAAAUGCAGCUAGUAUAGGCCAAGUGCUUGAAAUAGACUAGGCAAAUAUAGAUGCAGGUAAUAACCUAACUAGUGAAAUAAAACUUGGUUUAAGGAUCAACUGGUAGCAAGCUUUUCUGCAAAAGGAGUCUUUGAUCAUUGAUAAACCUUACCUUGAUUCCCAAUCAACUAGCAUACCCUUGAGAGUCUUUUCUUUAGUCGGGUAAGUCUUGCUGAGUAAUUGCGUACUCAGGGUUUUAUCCCCUGUUGUUUUUGCAGGAGAAGUUUUAUUCCCUUAUCUUUUGGUUAGUUACUUCAUGUGGAGGCCUUGAAGCUUAGAAUGUUUAUGUGUAUCUCUUAUGGAAAGGCUUCACCGUUCCAAUUAUUGUAAUAAGUUAUGCACUUUGGGUACUAUCAGGACUUGUAAUAAAUACAUCUCUUUCUACCUUGUAAAACUUGAGUUCUGGAAUGUAAAGUGUACUUUGUAAAAGCCUUCCGCUCUAUCUCC
rnacentral:lncRNA from 1 species